GGGAGGCCACGUGCACAAGGGCGUGGGGACCGAGUGUGGGAGGCGAGGGGGCCCCCAUCUGGGCCAGAGUCCUGCAGAUCCUGAGGUCCAAGGAUGGGAUCUCUGUGUAGCCGGACAACGUGACUUUAGAUCAAGGGGCAUGAAAUACACUCCAGAGAAAAAGAAGGGCGACGGACGGUCUGACACAGACCACAGACUGAGACUGGGGUGGGAUGGUCAUUACAAGCCUUGGAACACCCUGGGCUGCUGGCGACCCCCGGAGCUGCGAGAGGGCCUGGAGCAGGUCCCCCUGCGAACCCCCGGAAGGAGCCCACCCUGCCAUCUCCUUGACUGCGGGCUUCAGCCUCCAGAUCUGGAAGAGGAGAAAUCUCUGCCGUCCCCAGUUUGGGGCGCUUUGUUACAGCAGCCCCGGCCGAACUUGCAGUCACUGGUGCGCUGUCCAGGUUUGCAUUAAUCACAGUCUCCUGGGCAACAACAGUUCCUCUUGAUGUGCGACCUGCGCUUUACCUUUAAACAGACUCACUCUUCACCACCCGUGCCCUUAGUCACACACGCUCCUUUCUCAGAGGUUAUUUCGUCUCAUCUUCGGACUCUCGGUGCUGUCCUCCUCCUCUCCUCCCUGCCCUCCCCCUCCCUG